CUCAUUUUCUUUAUUUAUAAACAGUAAGUCAUAUAUAUUUGUAAUAUUGAAGAAUUGUUAGCUGUACAUGUUUGCCUGGCAUGGUUCAAUAUGUUCAAUAAGGCAUUGUUUACCAGGUGAGCGAUUCAGGCUCUUGAGAGCCUCUUGUUCAUAACAAAAAUUGUAUGAAUUUCAUAGAUUUUUACCUGGUCUUUCAAAAAAUUCAUGCUUCAGGGUACGUUCGCCUGCUCCGAAAAGAGCUACAG
rnacentral:lncRNA from 1 species